GGGGCCGAUUUGGAUUCGACGCUGGUGACAAAGUCCGAGGUGCAUGUGGUGAUGGCAGCGAAUCACCUAAAUCCAAAGCUGCACAUGAAUAGUCGCAAACGACGAUUCUUACGCUCUAGCAGCCUAAGGGCUUGCUAGCGGUUUUUAGCAAGGUGCCAGUACCGCGUUAAAAACCGUCAUAUAGAACUGGAUCGUCACAAAGCCCGCCUGGUGCCGCGUGGUUAAAUCUCUACAGGAUCGCGAUUAUCGCCCUGUCCGUUGGGUAGGUAGUUGUUAAAUCAGUUAACGGUUCUAAACAUGUAGGACCAACGAUAGAGUGCUGGCGGACGGGGGUUCAAAUCCCCCCGGCUCCACCA
rnacentral:tmRNA from 1 species